rnacentral:misc_RNA from 1 species
AAUUCUCAACCUUUCCAGCUUUUAUUAGCUUGGUUAGGCUUGGAUGUGGGGGUUGCGGGCUUUAUUAAUUGAAGUCGGCUCUCCUUAAAUGCAUUAGCAGAACUUUUGUGGACUGUCUAUUGGUGUGAUAAUUAUCUACGCCGUGGAUGUGAAGCAGCUUUAUGAAGUUCAGCUUCUAAUCGUCCAUUGACUUGGACAAUUUUAUGACA